rnacentral:lncRNA from 1 species
UGAAGGUCUUCGAUAAAGGAGAAGCGUCAAAGAAAGAAACCAGAGAAAAGUAAUCAUAGGCCGGGGAAAAGGCCAACCCAGUCGCGAAGAAACAAACAUGCAAGUACUUGAGAUGGAGGAAUUUGCUUGGUACCAUUGGUGUGUUUUCAAUCUGCACAAGAGAUGCCUCAGAUUAAUUAUAUCCCAGGUACUGUUAUACUGUUAUAGGCAUACCAGUGUUCGUAAUCAUCUAAAGUUUCAGAUUGUACCUCACUAGCAACGGGUUCAAUGUUUGACUGAUACAUUCUGUUAUAGGCAUACCAGGUG